CUGACAUAAUCAAAAGUGGUGAUCUGAGCCAAUUACAAUCCUUUCCUAUAUGAAAGCAUUGGAUUAGCUGAGAUUGUGAAAGAGGCAGAGCCAGCACAAGCCAAACACAGCCCUUGCCAAUAAGCAUCUCCUCAUAGAGAUGCAUUGAAUCAAUGCAUCUCUAUGAGAAAUGUUCAGUGUCUCCAAGCAGAGGGUGGAUACACUGAAUGUCAGUGCAGUGCUCACAUCUGAG